UCCACUUUAUUUUGCUAACUAAUACGGAUAGGAAAUUCAUAGACUGUAUUAUGUAAGCCUCAAAUUCUUUUUUAGCACCUGUGAGCAGAGCCAUCUUAUUGGCUCAUAGGCUCAUAAAUUUAGACCUAGAAGGACCCUUGGAGAUCAUCUAGACCAGAGGUAUCAAACUCCCAGCCCACCCAGGAGUGCCACCCAAAUAAGACUAAAAUAUGAGAAAACUGAGGCCAGGGGCAGCUGGGUGGCGCCAUAAUGCACCGAAUGCCAGCUUGGAAUCAAGAGGAUGCAUCUUCCUGAGUUCAAAUCUGGCCUCAGACACCAGCAGUGGGACCCUGGGAUGGUGGCGCAAUCCAGUACACGCUGUGGACCGAGGAAGGCAGCUCCUGGACGUCGGCAACCACACUGUUACUGCCUGGGUUGAACGUGACAGGGAUGUCCAUUUGAUCUGCUGUCUGCAGGCGCCAACCUAUCAUGUCAACAAACUGGAACAUAAAAGUAGGGGAAUGAAACUCAUUCAUGUCUUUCCUCCAUGAGCUCUGUUGCUGCAGCCUUCUUUUGAAAAAUGCAUUUUAAUCAUGUCUUUUGUCUUUGCGAUAUAGUCAUUUCACUUCCCACCCUCCUCAAGAUGUAAUUCUCCCUUGUGACAAAGAAAAAUAACUGAAUAAAAACAUCUGCUACAGUGGCCUUAUUGGA